UACUGCAUGUUUAUAAUCGCGCACCUUCUGUGCAUUUGCAUUCAAAAAGAGAAGACCAAAGAACAGCUUGUGAAGACUGUCAGAUGGAGCAGCUGGAGUUCAAACUCCACAAACUACAUGAAGAGACACGAAAGAGAAAGAGGAGCUGUUUCCUAGCUGCUAUAUGUCCAAUACACUACAUUUUUAUUUUCAGUACAACUUAUUUUUAAAUACUGUUUGUGGAAAAGUUUCCUGAGUGAAAGUCUGGUGUCAUUUAUAUUUUGUAUUGUAUUGUAUUGUAUUGUAUUUCACAUGCGUCAUUGUUCAGCUCAUCCUCUGAGGAUUGUGUCAGUGAUUAAACUACAUGUCAGAAAUCACAGACACGAUGCAUAAAGAAUCAGCUAAAAAAAGAGAGAGAAACGCAGCAGUUCUGGGUGUGGCCAUCAGAAAGCCAUAUCCACAGUCCUGGGGUGCGUUUGUAACUCGCUGCUUCACUACCAUAGUUCGAUGCAUUGUUGAAUAAAUCAAAUAUAUAGUCAGGACUGUUUUUUCUCGCAAACGUAUUGUUGCAAACCUGUCGUUCAACCACGUUAGUGAAUAACAUCACGCAGGUGGUGAGUAAUAACUUCUUUAGGUGAAUCCGUUUGAGAUCAAAUUAAUGCUAGUUUUUUUUUUUUUCUCUCUCUCUCUAAAUUACAUGGUAUCUGAGGACUAAUUCUCAUUUUUUUAGUUAUUUCGCUUUGUUUCCAGAUUCAAUAAUAAGCUCGUUCUUACAUACUGAAGCAUGUACGCACAUGCGCACUCAAAGACUGUGCUUAAAAUCUCUUGGCAAACUAAAAUAUGUAAAUGACAUUUGUAUAUAUUCGAAAUAAAAGAUAUACAUUGUACUUAAUGUCAGCUUGUUUAUUUUGCUCAAGAUAACGAGUCAGCAUGUCUUAAAAACAAGACACUCUUCUUCUAACCACACGAGUUUGCAAUGCAGUUUGUGAAUGUUUGUUUGAACGAUUUUUUCAGAAAAAACCAAAUCGUUGAACUAUGUUAGUAACGACGGAACUUGAGAUGCUUUUGGGAAACGCAGCCCAGCUCGUGACUCCGCCCAUCAAAAAAAACAAAAAAAAAAACAAUCCCAUCCCAAGUGGCUCAACACACACAAGUUCAAGCAGUUGCAUUAACGAAACUUAUCCUAGUCUAAGACAAGUUACCAUGACUGCGAAUCCUGAUUUCUGCAUAAACUGAUCAUACAGUGUGAUUAUAAAUCCCUGAAGACUCCACUGGAUAUUACUACAUUUCCUCUCGUCACAGGUGAUAUACGAUUUUAAAAUAUGAAUAUGUUUUUAGGGUAGAAAUUGAUUUAAUGUUGAGUAGCUACUUUACUGAGGAACUUUGUCAUCAAACAUUUGUGGAUUUCAUAUGGAUCACUGCAUUAUUUGAUGUUUUGAUAAAAUACUUGAAAGAAAAAAAUUAAUUGCUAUCACUUUAAUAAUUCCUGUUAUGCGUCUCUCCAUUAAGAUUAACACAUGAAGACAGGAGAGAGACAGAUGAAGACACAAACCAGUAAAAAUGUGAACCUUGUCAGAUGGAACAGCUUGAAUGAUUUAAGACCGAAUUUCUCUGCUGAUCCACACAGACCUGUAAAGUGUCCUUCUGAUGUAUUAAAAAAGACAAAGUCUGAGAACACUGAAGUCUCUUCUGGAUCCUCGAGCUCCUGACAGCAUCUUCACUCGUGACGUCAGAUGAUAAACGUGAUCGAUUCAUCGUUUGCUUUUCCGUUCUUUCAACAUUACCCUGCCUUCAUUGCACCAUAUUGCUGCUUGCAUAUUGUUGUAUUAUAUUUUUGUAUGUUAUUUAAAUUCAUAGGUACUUCCAUUCAUUUAAAAUUGAUACAAAAAGUAUUCUGCCUUUUACAUGUUAAAAAGAACUUUUCAUGGUGAACUUCUUUCAAAGUUUGAAAGAACUGAGAAGAUGUUGUUGCUGCUGUUUUCUGUGAAAAAAAAAAAAAAACUGUACUGUAACAGCACUGGACUGAACUAUACACACCACAGACCCUUUACACAUUUCUGGGUUUCUCAGAAACAGAAAUCAUCAUAGUUGUGUAAACUUCUGUAGCCAUGAAUGGGAUACAUUAAAUACAUAUUUUAUGUAUAUUUUAUUUAAAUAUUUUAAUACAUUAUA